rnacentral:rRNA from 1 species
GACGAACGCUGGCGGCGUGCUUAACACAUGCAAGUCGAACGGAAAGGCCCUGCUUUUGUGGGGUGCUCGAGUGGCGAACGGGUGAGUAACACGUGAGUAACCUGCCCUUGACUUUGGGAUAACUUCAGGAAACUGGGGCUAAUACCGGAUAGGAGCUCCCGCUGCAUGGUGGGGGUUGGAAAGUUUCGGCGGUUGGGGAUGGACUCGCGGCUUAUCAGCUUGUUGGUGGGGUAGUGGCUUACCAAGGCUUUGACGGGUAGCCGGCCUGAGAGGGUGACCGGCCACAUGGGGACUGAGAUACGGCCCAGACUCCUACGGGAGGCAGCAGUGGGGAAUAUUGCACAAUGGGCGGAAGCCUGAUGCAGCAACGCCGCGGGCGGGAUGACGGCCUUCGGGUUGUAAACCGCUUUCGCCUGUGACGAAGCGUGAGUGACGGUAAUGGGUAAAGAAGCACCGGCUAACUACGUG